rnacentral:lncRNA from 1 species
GUGGGCUUUUACUGUGGAACUGGCUCUGCCUCCUUAAUGCCAGAGCUUAAAUCAAGGCUGGAGGGCUCUGCUACAGGUCCUUGAGUGCAGUCAGCUGUGAAUGUGACCUCUUCCUUUUUUUUUUUUGGCCCUCAUCCUUUACAUCGAGUGUUCAAAAUAUGACCCCGCAGCCUUUCAAGCCUUAGCAGAGGAAAACGGUAAAAUAUUUCUAAUAAACGUGCAGUAACUCCUACCAUAUGUCUGGCCUUUGAGGAGCACAAACGUAGUUUCUUAAGUGGCAGCGUUUGAACGCCAGCCACACGCAGCUCCCAAAUGCUGGCUUGCAAUCCUGCCUCCCCUUCCAGAGCAGGUUUGGUGCUGAGCAGGGUGAAGCUGAGCACGGCAGCUGGCAAGGGGCAGCGCCUGCAGAUAGAAACAGGCCGAGGGAGGGCGAAUUUUCCCCUCCCUGGGGGGACAGUUGCUGGGACAGGCACGUCCCACACCGGCGUGGGCGCUGUGUUUGCAGCUGGUCUUUCUCCUUCUCCUCCUGGGGCUGCCUCUGCUCCGCUCUGCCGUUCAUGGUGAUUUGUUCUUCCUACUUGGCUCGUUCCUAAAAACAAGGCUUUAUUGUUGGAGAUUCCAGAAAAGCGGGUCUCCCUUCUUCAGGCUGCAAAUGCGUGCCUGAAAAUCGGUUCCCUGUGUGACCCAGCUGGAGACCUUACACCGGGGCCAGAAGGGCGCGUGGAGGGGAUGCGGAGGCAGCAGCAGGCUUCAAAGUUCCCCUCCCGUGCCGUGCUGCUGCCCUGCUGCCAGCUGCCCGACUCUUUGUGUGUGUGUUGGCUGCUGGGAGGUGCACGCUGCAGCGCCUGCCCUGCGAGCAGGGAGAAGUUUGCUCCAGGCGUCCUGCAGCCUUACCCGGAGCAUCGGUGCGAGCCCAAACCUCCAGCCCUCACCUCCCUGCUCCUUCAGCCCUGAUUGCCCUGCUCCUUCAGGAAUCGCCUGCAGCGGAGGCUUUUAUUCCACGUUGCUCCCAAAGGGCUGUUGUUUGCUGGCUCCAGGCCUGCAGAGGCACCGAAACGGGGAAAAUUCAGCUGCCCGAAUUCUGCUCUCCGCCUCGCGCCCUGCUGCCGGGAGGAGGAGGAUGAAUUUGGGGCAGCUUUGCCCGCCCAGCUUCCCAGCAGGGCUUUGGGUUUGUGUGUUUUUUUUUUUUUUCCCCUCCUCAUCCUAACGCAAAAGGUUAAUUAGCGGCAAGCUCUACACGGCUAAUUAAAGACAUAUGAGAUCUUUCUUUGGCUCCCCGGAGCUGUCAGCCUUUUCCUCGCACGCCGCCGUCCCCGCUGACGCAGAGCGCGCUAAUUAACUCGGGUGCCAGACCCGGGUAAUUGGGCUGCCCUUGGGGCCGGGCACUGAACGCCACAGCCUGACCCCCCCCCCGACCCCCCAAAGCCCCCCCCUGCUCCGUGGGGGCUCCACG